AUUGAACGCUGGCGGCAGGCCUAACACAUGCAAGUCGAACGAGUGGCGGACGGGUGAGUAAUGUCUGGGCAAAUGCCUGAUGGAGGCGGAUAACUAAUGGAACAGGUAGCUCAUACCGCAUACCAUUGGAUGUGCCCAGAUUGUAUUUGCUAGUAGGUGGGGUAAAGGCUCACGUGGGUGGCUAUCCUGAGCUGAUCGUAGAGGAUGACACGCCACAUUGGAAAUGAGACACGGGCCAGACUCCUACGGGAGGCAGCAGUGGGGAAUAUGGCACAAUUGGCGCAAGCCUGAUGCAGCCAUGCCGCGUGUAUGAAGAAGUCCUUCGGUUUGUAAAGUACUUUCAGCGGGGAAGCGUUACCCGCAGAAGAAGCACCGGCUAACUCCGUGCCAGCAGCCGCGGUAAUUC
rnacentral:rRNA from 1 species